rfam:Lactobacillus bifermentans DSM 20003 NODE_30, whole genome shotgun sequence.
CACUCGGUUAUAUUUCUACCUAAGACUCAGGUGGCUUUGCCUUAAUUGUUUACUUUGUAAACUGCCCGCCGAGGAGAAAGUUUGUACGAUUAGCAAACUCUCAGCGGCGUUGUGUCUUUGACACAACGUUUUUUGAUUAGGAGA